GGUUGCAAAGCUGAAACUUAAAGG
rnacentral:piRNA from 10 species